GAUGAACGCUGGCGGCGUGCCUAAUACAUGCAAGUCGAGCGAACGGACGAGAAGCUUGCUUCUCUGAUGUUAGCGGCGGACGGGUGAGUAACACGUGGAUAACCUACCUAUAAGACUGGGAUAACUUCGGGAAACCGGAGCUAAUACCGGAUGAUAUUUUGAACCGCAUGGUUCAAAAGUGAAAGACGGUCUUGCCGUCACUUAUAGAUGGAUCCGCGCUGCAUUAGCUAGUUGGUAAGGUAACGGCUUACCAAGGCAACGAUGCAUAGCCGACCUGAGAGGGUGAUCGGCCACACUGGACCUGAGACACGGUCCAGACUCCUACGGGAGGCAGCAGUAGGGAAUCUUCCGCAAGGGGCGAAAGCCUGACGGAGCAACGCCGCGUGAGUGAUGAAGGUCUUCGGAUCGUAAAACUCUGUUAUUAGGGAAGAACAUAUGUGUAAGUAACUGAGCACAGCUUGACGGUACCUAAUCAGAAAGCCACGGCUAACUACGUG
rnacentral:rRNA from 1 species